GACGAGUCCCACAAACGUUAUUCGGAAUUACUGGGCUUAAAGGGUGCGUAGGCGGUGGAGUAAGUCGGAUGUGAAAUACCUUAGCUUAACUAGGGAACUGCACUCGAUACUACUUUGCUAGAGUAAGACAGAGGUGAGUGGAACUGAGGGUGGAGCGGUGAAAUGCGUUGAUAUCCUCAGGAACACCGGUGGCGAAGGCGACUCACUGGGUCUUUACUGACGCUGAUGCACGAAAGCUAGGGUAGCAAACGGG
rnacentral:rRNA from 1 species